GAUGAACGCUAGCGGCAGGCCUAACACAUGCAAGUCGAGGGGUAUAAAAGAGCUUGCUUUUUAGAGACCGGCAAACGGGUGCGGAACACGUACGCAAUCUGCCCUUAUCACGGGGAUAGCCCAGAGAAAUUUGGAUUAAUACCCGAUAGUAUUAUAAUAAGGCAUCUUGUUGUAAUUAAAGCUAUGGCGGAUAAGGAUGAGCGUGCGCAAGAUUAGCUAGUUGGUGAGGUAACGGCUCACCAAGGCGACGAUCUUUAGCUGAUGUGAGAGCAUGAUCAGCCACACGGGCACUGAGACACGGGCCCGACUCCUACGGGAGGCAGCAGUGAGGAAUAUUGGUCAAUGGACGGAA
rnacentral:rRNA from 1 species